rnacentral:rRNA from 1 species
GAUGAACGCUGGCGGCGUGCCUAAUACAUGCAAGUCGAACGAACAGAUAAGGAGCUUGCUCCUUUGACGUUAGCGGCGGACGGGUGAGUAACACGUGGGUAACCUACCUAUAAGACUGGGAUAACUUCGGGAAACCGGAGCUAAUACCGGAUAACAUUUGGAACCGCAUGGUUCUAAAGUGAAAGAUGGUUUUGCUAUCACUUAUAGAUGGACCCGCGCCGUAUUAGCUAGUUGGUAAGGUAACGGCUUACCAAGGCGACGAUACGUAGCCGACCUGAGAGGGUGAUCGGCCACACUGGAACUGAGACACGGUCCAGACUCCUACGGGAGGCAGCAGUAGGGAAUCUUCCGCAAUGGGCGAAAGCCUGACGGAGCAACGCCGCGUGAGUGAUGAAGGGUUUCGGCUCGUAAAACUCUGUUAUUAGGGAAGAACAAACGUGUAAGUAACUGUGCACGUCUUGACGGUACCUAAUCAGAAAGCCACGGCUAACUACGUG